UACGAAGGGGGCUAGCGUUGUUCGGAAUUACUGGGCGUAAAGCGUGCGCAGGCGGUUGGGCAAGACAGAUGUGAAAUCCCCGGGCUUAACCUGGGAAUGGCAUUUGUGACUGCACGGCUAGAGUGUGUCAGAGGGGGGUAGAAUUCCACGUGUAGCAGUGAAAUGCGUAGAUAUGUGGAGGAAUACCGAUGGCGAAGGCAGCCCCCUGGGAUAACACUGACGCUCAUGCACGAAAGCGUGGGGAGCAAACAGG
rnacentral:rRNA from 1 species